rnacentral:rRNA from 1 species
UAGGGAAUCUUCGGCAAUGGACGAAAGUCUGACCGAGCAACGCCGCGUGAGUGAAGAAGGUUUUCGGAUCGCAAAACUCUGUUGGUAGAGAAGAACGUUGGUGAGAGUGGAAAGCUCAUCAAGUGACGGUAACUACCCAGAAAGGGACGGCUAACUACGUGCCAC